rnacentral:rRNA from 1 species
CAAGGUUAAAACUCAAAUGAAUUGACGGGGGCCCGCACAAGCGGUGGAGCAUGUGGUUUAAUUCGAUGCAACGCGAAGAACCUUACCUACUCUUGACAUCCAGAGAACUUNCCAGAGAUGNNUUGGUGCCUUCGGGAACUCUGAGACAGGUGCUGCAUGGCUGUCGUCAGCUCGUGUUGUGAAAUGUUGGGUUAAGUCCCGCAACGAGCGCAACCCUUAUCCUUUGUUGCCAGCGGUUCGGCCGGGAACUCAAAGGAGACUGCCAGUGAUAAACUGGAGGAAGGUGGGGAUGACGUCAAGUCAUCAUGGCCCUUACGAGUAGGGCUACACACGUGCUACAAUGGCGCAUACAAAGAGAAGCGACCUCGCGAGAGCAAGCGGACCUCAUAAAGUGCGUCGUAGUCCGGAUUGGAGUCUGCAACUCGACUCCAUGAAGUCGGAAUCG